UUGAUGGUGAACUCCCACUCGCCCUGCGGUCCGGCGAGGACGUUGCCGCCGAAGUACUCGCCGUCGGCCAGCGAGCCGAGCACGGUCUGGUCGCCGUACUCGCCCCGGCCGACCUUGUUCACCUUGCCGUGCGCGAUCAGGUAGACCGUGUCCUGCGGACGGCCCUCCUCCACGAUCACCGAGCCGGGCUCGUACUCGUGCUGGGUGAACCGGUCGGCGAGCGCGGUCAGCGCCUCGACGUCGUCGUAGCCGCGCAGCAGCGCCAGUUCGGUCAGCUCCUGCGGGAUCACCCGCACGUCCGCGCCGAUGUUGGUGAACGUCAGCCGCCCGUCGCCGACCUCGUAGCUGAGCCUGCGGUUGACCCGGUAGGCGCCGCCCUUCGCCUCCACCCAGGGCAGGAGCUUCAGCAGCCACCGCGAGGUGAUGCCCUGCAUCUGGGGAACGGACUUGGUCGUGGUCGCCAGGUUCCGCGCUGCCGCCGUGCCGAGGCUCAAGCGUGGUCGCUCGG
rnacentral:antisense_RNA from 1 species